UACGUAGGGUGCAAGCGUUGCUCGGAAUCACUGGGCGUAAAGCGCACGUAGGCGGAUCUUUAAGUCAGGGGUGAAAUCCCAAGGCUCAACCUUGGAACUGCCUUUGAUACUGGGGAUCUCGAGUCCGGAAGAGGUGAGUGGAACUGCGAGUGUAGAGGUGAAAUUCGUAGAUAUUCGCAAGAACACCAGUGGCGAAGGCGGCUCACUGGUCCGGUACUGACGCUGAGGUGCGAAAGCGUGGGGAGCAAACAGG
rnacentral:rRNA from 1 species